AGCACCUUUAACUAAGUCCAGAGAGGCUUAGAAGGGAUCCGAACGAGUUUCGGCCGAACCGCUGCGGCGGUGAAAGCAGACGUCAGUCGCCUUCUGCCCAAUCUGGGUGGAAGGCGUUUUUUUGU
rfam:Lactobacillus nasuensis JCM 17158 NODE_36, whole genome shotgun sequence.